AAUAGAUACCCAGGUAGUCCACGCCCUAAACGAUGUCAACUAGCUAGUUGGGGCCUUCGGGCCUUGGUAGCGCAGCUAACGCGUGAAGUUGACCGCCUGGGGAGUACGGUCGCAAGAUUAAAACUCAAAGGAAUUGACGGGGACCCGCACAAGCGGUGGAUGAUGUGGAUUAAUUCGAUGCAACGCGAAAAACCUUACCUACCCUUGACAUGUCUGGAAUCCCGAAGAGAUUUGGGAGUGCUCGCAAGAGAACCGGAACACAGGUGCUGCAUGGCUGUCGUCAGCUCGUGUCGUGAGAUGUUGGGUUAAGUCCCGCAACGAGCGCAACCCUUGUCAUUAGUUGCUACGAAAGGGCACUCUAAUGAGACUGCCGGUGACAAACCGGAGGAAGGUGGGGAUGACGUCAAGUCCUCAUGGCCCUUAUGGGUAGGGCUUCACACGUCAUACAAUGGUCGGGACAGAGGGUCGCCAACCCGGCGAGGGGGAGCCAAUCCCAGAAACCCGAUCGUAGUCCGGAUCGCAGUCUGCAA
rnacentral:rRNA from 1 species